GCGGCUGGUGGAGAGGCUAUACAUCGCUGCUCGGAAAGCAGAAGAUGCGGGUUCGAGUCCCGCCUGGCGCA
rnacentral:tRNA from 1 species